CCUACGGGAGGCAGCAGUAGGGAAUAUUGCUCAAUGGGGUAAACCCUGAAGCAGCAACGUCGCGUGGAGGAUGAAGGUCCUCUGAUUUUUAACCCUCUUUGUUAGAGAAGCUAAUCACGCUACCUAACGAAUAAGCACCGGCUAAAUCCGUGCCAGCAGCCGCGGUAAUACGGCGGGAGCAAGCGGUACUCGGAAUCACUCGGCGUAAAGGGGGCGUAGGCGGGAUAGCAAGUCAGAUGUGAAAUCCUAGGGCUUAACCAUAGAACUGCAUUUGAAACUGUUGUUCUAGAGUAUGGGAGAGGUAGGUGGAAUGCGUGGUGUAGGGGUAAAAUCCAUAGAGAUCAAGAGGAAUUCUCAUUGCGAAGGCAACCUGCUAGAGCAUAACUGACGCUGAUGCGCGAAAGCGUGGGGAGCGAACAGGAUUAGAUACCCUGGUAGUC
rnacentral:rRNA from 1 species